GUAGGGUAUGGUGACAUUUACCCACAGACUUUGCUUGGAAAAAUUGUGGGUGGGCUGUGCUGCAUCGCGGGGGUGCUCGUCAUUGCUUUACCGAUCCCCAUCAUUGUCAAUAAC
rfam:Tetraodon nigroviridis, WGS project CAAE01000000 data, contig: CNS0BYQK, chromosome: 6